rnacentral:rRNA from 1 species
AGAGCGAACGUUAGCGGCGGGCUUAACACAUGCAAGUCGAGCGAGAAAGUGGCUUCGGCCAUCAGUAAAGCGGCGGACGGGUGAGUAACACGUAGGUAAUUUUCCUUCCAGCGGGGGACAACGUUCCGAAAGGGACGCUAAUACCGCGUACGUUUCCCGAGACUCCGGUCUUGGGAAGGAAAGCUAGGUAGCAAUAUCCGGCACUGGAUGAGAAGCCUGCGUAGCAUCAGCUAGUUGGUGGGGUAACGGCCUACCAAGGCGAAGACGCUUAGCUGGUCUGAGAGGAUGAUCAGCCACACUGGGACUGAGACACGGCCCAGACUCCUACGGGAGGCAGCAGUGGGGAAUAUUGGACAAUGGGCGCAAGCCUGAUCCAGCAAUGCCGCGUGUGUGAAGAAGGUCUUCGGAUUGUAAAGCACUUUCGACGGGGACGAUGAUGACGGUACCCGUAGAAGAAGCCCGGCUAACUUCGUGCCAGCAGCCGCGGU